UCCUCUCCGGGGCGGGAGAAGCGACACCACCGCCUGAGGCGCGUCGCUGGCGCCGCAGCCCUUCCCUGCGCCACCCCAGUUCAACCAGCAGCCGCUUCAACAGCUUCACCUUUAAGAAAUCAGCUCUGUUUUCAGAAAGGUGACAAAAAGCAAAGCAAUGAAUGGGCCAGCGGUGGAGCGGAGAGCAGAAUGCAGGGCUGCCCGUCGCCCGUAUGCGAGUGUUUUAUUCUGGAUGAGAACAGUUCUAACAGGACUUUCACAAAGAAAAGUAGUAUACUGAACAAGAUCUUUUGGGAAGGGCAACAGAAACAAGAAUUUCAUUAAAAAGGCACUGUCCUCUUCUCACAGUAGUACACUCAGACGUUCUUCCCCUAGAGAGGGAGUAUAAUGGCAAGGGGGAAUACAAAACAAGGCUCCAAGACCCAAACACGGCAGGCCUAAUUUACAAGCAAAUAAAAAUAAGCAUUACUUGCUGAGAGAGCUAUAGGCACUGGGGUCGCGCGGCUCUGCAGCACUCACCUGUAAUUGUUCUAGUUUCUGCAGAGUAAGGAUUAUGUCUCUUGCCCUUCUCCAGACCAAAGAUCCAAAAAAGAAUGCUUUGAAGUGUCAAAAGGUUUUAAGAAACGUUACACAAAACAUUACACGUAUCUAUAUACGUUAUCAUGAGCGUUCAAGCUGUAACAGGAGUAAGUAAUGGGACUGCCAGAAAGGGGUCAAAUACUAGGCAGCCAAAUGGUUGCACCAUGAGGUGUUAUUUACAUUCAUUCAAAUAGGUUUUGCCUGGCAAUUGCUUCAAGUUACCAUUAGAAGGCCAGAAUAAGAACUUUAUGUUAAAUGCAAGACUCCUAAAAUAUUAUUUAAAAUAUUCCUGUAAACGUGGGAUCUGAAGUAUUAAAAUCGCCAAGAAAAAC